UUGUUGGUAAGGUAAAAGCUUACCAAGGCUUCGAUCAGUAGCUGGUCUGAGAGGACGGCCAGCCACACUGGGACUGAGACACGGCCCAGACUCCUACGGGAGGCAGCAGUGGGGAAUUUUGGACAAUGGGGGCAACCCUGAUCCAGCCAUGCCGCGUGAGUGAAGAAGGCCUUCGGGUUGUAAAGCUCUUUCAGCCGGAACGAAACGGUUACGGUUAAUACCCGUGACUACUGACGGUACCGGAAGAAGAAGCACCGGCUAACUACGUGCCAGCAGCCGCGGUAAUACGUAGGGUGCGAGCGUUAAUCGGAAUUACUGGGCGUAAAGCGUGCGCAGGUGGUUUUGUAAGUCAGAUGUGAAAGCCCCGGGCUCAACCUGGGAACUGCGUUUGAAACUACAAGACUAGAGUGCGGCAGAGGGGGGUGGAAUUCCGCGUGUAGCAGUGAAAUGCGUAGAGAUGUGGAGGAACACCGAUGGCGAAGGCAGCCCCCUGGGUCAACACUGACGCUCAGGCACGAAAGCAUGGGGAGCAAACAGGAUUAGAUACCCUGGUAGUCCAUGCCCUAAACGAUGUCAACUAGUUGUCGGGCCUUUACGGGCUUGGUAACGUAGCUAACGCGUGAAGUUGACCGCCUGGGGAGUACGAUCGCAAGAUUAAAACUCAAAUGAAUUGACGGGGACCCGCACAAGCGGUGGAUUAUGUGGAUUAAUUCGAUGCAACGCGAAAAACCUUACCUACCCUUGACAUGUAUCGAAGCCCGCAGAAAAGCGGGGGUGCCCGAAAGGGAACGAUAACACAGGUGCUGCAUGGCUGUCGUCAGCUCGUGUCGUGAGAUGUUGGGUUAAGUCCCGCAACGAGCGCAACCCUUGUCAUUAAUUGCCAUCAUUUAGUUGGGCACUUUAAUGAGACUGCCGG
rnacentral:rRNA from 1 species